UACGCAGGGGGCAAGCGUUGUCCGGAAUCAUUGGGCGUAAAGAGCGUGUAGGCGGCCCGGUAAGUCCGCUGUGAAAGUCCAGGGCUCAACCCUGGGAUGCCGGUGGAUACUGUCGGGCUCGAGUCCGGAAGAGGCGAGUGGAAUUCCUGGUGUAGCGGUGAAAUGCGCAGAUAUCAGGAGGAACACCAAUGGCGAAGGCAGCUCGCUGGGACGUGACUGACGCUGAGGAGCGAAAGCAUGGGGAGCGAACAGG
rnacentral:rRNA from 1 species